rfam:Marinobacter sp. HL-58 ITZY_scaf_161, whole genome shotgun sequence.
CAUGCGGUGCCUGACACCCGGAGUCUUCCGAGCUCCCGUGAUCAGGUAGCGGCAUGACCUGACCGAGGU